rnacentral:tRNA from 1 species
GCUGAUGUAGCUCAGCUGGCAGAGCAAUUGAUUUGUAAUCAAUAGGUCGUGGGUUCAAAUCCCUCCAUCAGCUCCA